UACGUAGGGUGCAAGCGUUGUCCGGAAUUAUUGGGCGUAAAGAGCUCGUAGGUGGCCUGUCGCGUCGGCUGUGAAAACUCGGGGCUCAACUCCGAGCUUGCAGUCGAUACGGGCAGACUAGAGUGCGGUAGGGGAGAUUGGAAUUCCUGGUGUAGCGGUGGAAUGCGCAGAUAUCAGGAGGAACACCGAUGGCGAAGGCAGAUCUCUGGGCCGUAACUGACGCUGAGGAGCGAAAGCGUGGGGAGCGAACAGG
rnacentral:rRNA from 1 species